rnacentral:misc_RNA from 1 species
GGCGGCGUCAGCGAGGAGAGGGUUGGAAGGGCCGCCGACACGGACGGGAUCGUGAUCUCCGGACUCGUUGGCGAAGGUACGCCACUCGGAAGUCUCGUCGAUGGAGUGAGACUCGAGGACGAGGCCGCAGUCGGAGCAGACGGUGUCGCCGGCGGCGUGGUCGAAGACGACCUCGGUGUUGCGCUUGCAGUCGGAGCAGUAGGCGUCGCCCAUGGCUGGGAUUGGAAUUAGAUCGGGGGUGGAAGGGUGGGA